UACGGAGGGGGCUAGCGUUGUUCGGAAUUAUUGGGCGUAAAGGGCGCGUAGGCGGCCGGACAAGUCGGGUGUGAAAUCCCUCGGCUCAACCGAGGAACUGCAUUCGAUACUGUCUGGCUCGAGUCCGGGAGGGGAUGGUGGAAUUCCCAGUGUAGCGGUGAAAUGCGUAGAUAUCAGGAGGAACACCCGUGGCGAAAGCGGCUCUCUGGGACGGUACUGACGCUGAGACGCGAAAGCGUGGGGAGCGAACAGG
rnacentral:rRNA from 1 species